GACAGAGGGUGCGAACGUUGCUCGGAAUCACUGGGCGUAAAGCGCGUGUAGGCGGACGAUCAAGUCAGGUGUGAAAUCCCUGGGCUCAACCCAGGAACUGCAUCUGAAACUGGUUGCCUUGAGUGUUGGAGAGGGAAGCGGAAUUCCUGGUGUAGAGGUGAAAUUCGUAGAUAUCAAGCGGAACACCGGUGGCGAAGGCGGCCUUCUGGACAGUGACUGACGCUGAGACGCGAAAGCGUGGGGAGCAAACAGG
rnacentral:rRNA from 1 species